CGAAAACGAAUUCUCUCUUGAGUGGAUCCUGAGUACGACGGAGCACGUGAAAUUCCGUCGGAAUCUGGGAGGACCAUCUCCUAAGGCUAAAUACUCUCUAGUGACCGAUAGUGAACCAGUACCGUGAGGGAAAGGUGAAAAGUACCCCGGAAGGGGAGUGAAAGAGAACUUGAAACCGUGUGCUUACAAGUAGUCAGAGCCCGUUAAUGGGUGAUGGCGUGCCUUUUGUAGAAUGAACCGGCGAGUUACGAUCUGAUGCAAGGUUAAGCAGAAAAUGUGGAGCCGUAGCGAAAGCGAGUCUGAAUAGGGCGAAUGAGUAUUUGGUCGUAGACCCGAAACCAGGUGAUCUACCCUUGGUCAGGUUGAAGUUCAGGUAACACUGAAUGGAGGACCGAACCGACUUACGUUGAAAAGUGAGCGGAUGAACUGAGGGUAGCGGAGAAAUUCCAAUCGAACUUG
rnacentral:rRNA from 1 species